UGGAUGUCUGUGUGCUUGGCUGGUCCCAGGUGCCCUGCAUGUGGUCAUGGCACUCCGAUCCCCUUUAGAAACUGCUUCCUCGUAUAUCUAUCCCUCCCGGGUCCCUGAAUGCAGAGGGCUGGGGAGUAUAAACAAAGAGGAAGGAUGGAGGUCCAUCUGGAACGGAACAGAAAGGUCCAUCUGGCUUACAAACAGGAAGGCACAUUCACAUGAGACCAAAGAAGUGAAAAUGUGAAGAACAUGUUUUUUGUAAAAGGCUUAAUUACUACGUAUUAAGUACCAAAGGCCGGUGAUGAGUAUGUGAUGAGAUGUGAGGAACAGAACUGCCCGAGCUCUCCACACCUGACGUCCAACUGGAAAAAGUACCCGUUCACCUUUGGUUGUCAACGACUCAGCGUUGUGUUUCUAAACUUGUACAGCACUGGAAUGAAAGCCUUCAUGUUAUUGGAUGUGCUUGGGCUUAGAAAUUUAACUUCUUACGAUGCCAUUUCAAAAAGAGCUUAAAGCAUCUA